rnacentral:rRNA from 1 species
CUACGGGAGGCAGCAGUGGGGAAUUUUGGACAAUGGGGGCAACCCUGAUCCAGCAAUGCCGCGUGUGUGAAGAAGGCCUUCGGGUUGUAAAGCACUUUUGUCCGGAAAGAAAACCUCUGUCCUAAUACGGUGGGAGGAUGACGGUACCGGAAGAAUAAGCACCGGCUAACUACGUGCCAGCAGCCGCGGUAAUACGUAGGGUGCGAGCGUUAAUCGGAAUUACUGGGCGUAAAGCGUGCGCAGGCGGUUCGCUAAGACCGAUGUGAAAUCCCCGGGCUUAACCUGGGAACUGCAUUGGUGACUGGCGGGCUAGAGUAUGGCAGAGGGGGGUAGAAUUCCACGUGUAGCAGUGAAAUGCGUAGAGAUGUGGAGGAAUACCGAUGGCGAAGGCAGCCCCCUGGGCCAAUACUGACGCUCAUGCACGAAAGCGUGGGGAGCAAACAGGAUUAGAUACCCUGGUAGUCCACGCCCUAAACGAUGUCAACUAGUUGUCGGGUCUUCAUUGACUUGGUAACGUAGCUAACGCGUGAAGUUGACCGCCUGGGGAGUACGGUCGCAAGAUUAAAACUCAAAGGAAUUGACGGGGACCCGCACAAGCGGUGGAUGAUGUGGAUUAAUUCGAUGCAACGCGAAAAACCUUACCUACCCUUGACAUGUACGGAACCUUGCCGAGAGGUGAGGGUGCCCGAAAGGGAGCCGUAACACAGGUGCUGCA